GCAGGCGUAGUCGAAUGGUUACGCUGUCCGCUUUGUUGGCGGAUGAUCAUGGGUUCGAUUCCCAUCUGCUCCA
rnacentral:tRNA from 2 species